ACUACGGGAGGCAGCAGUGAGGAAUAUUGGUCAAUGGGCGCGAGCCUGAACCAGCCAAGUAGCGUGGAGGAUGACUGCCCUACGGGUUGUAAACUUCUUUUAUAAAGGGAUAAAGUGAGGCACGUGAGCCUUUUUGUAUGUACUUUAUGAAUAAGGAUCGGCUAACUCCGUGCCAGCAGCCGCGGUAAUACGGAGGAUCCGAGCGUUAUCCGGAUUUAUUGGGUUUAAAGGGAGCGUAGAGGGGUUGUUAAGUCAGUUGUGAAAGUUUGCGGCUCAACCGUACAAUUGCAUUUGAAACUGGCAGUCUUGAGUACAGGUGAGGUAGGCGGAAUUAGCGGUGUAGCGGUGAAAUGCUUAGAUAUCACGAAGAACUCCGAUUGCGAAGGCAGCUUACUAAACUGCCACUGACAUUGAUGCUCGAAAGUGUGGGUAUCGAACAGGAUUAGAUACCCCUGUAGUC
rnacentral:rRNA from 1 species